ensembl:lncRNA
GGCUGACAGUGGACAAUGAUGGAUGUUGAAAGCUGUCCUCCUCAAGUCUUCAGGUCGUGAAGCUAAGGCCCAAAGAUCACUGGCUGCCAUGUCAUGGAUACACCCAGGAAGUUUCUGGUGAAACCCACAUAUGCGGAUGCGAGACACACAAAUAACCAUGAAGGAGUCUGAAUUCAUGAGGUGAGCUGAUGGCAGAGAAAGUCCUUUCUUUUCUUAAAUGCAGGGUUCUUCCUGCCCCAGCCCCUGACCUCAGUGAGAUUGCCCAUCCCUCACUCCCACAGCCUGGAACCCCAUUGCAGCACCAAUUCUCUACAACUGGCAGGCAUGUUGGUCCCACACUGUUAGAGCUGAUUGGGCUAUUUCUGCAUUAUAUCAGGAGCCUCUACAAUCAGAGCUGGUGUGAACACACAAUGGAGAUGCCCUUGGGCAUUCACAGUGGCUGCCAGAGAACAUCGUGAGCUUCCCACAAAGGACUGAAGAUUAUGAGAAAGAUAACAAACAGAUAUGAUGGUGGUACGAAGCAAAGAAUUAAAGAUUCCAGACAGCAGUACCAGGAGGCCAGCAAAGUCCUUGGCAGCAGCCUCUUCCAAUAAAUCAGCAUGUCAGAAGAAACAAUGACCCUUCCCAUGGUACAGGAACAAAACCACAAACUCUCCAAGGUGGACCUGGAACAGAAGUCUCCAAGACAACCUCAAUACAUCUCAUUCCUUUCCCAUUCAUCGAGGGCAAGUACAAGAGGUGAUGGAAUUUCUUCAACUUUAUCAAGAGGCUCACCAAUCCAGAACGACCCUCGGAAACCCAGAUAAAAGAGUGAAUUAAUUGCCCAUUGUAAAUAUCAGUAUCCUUUGGCCAACCCACCAACUGUUAUUCUCUGAUGUGAGUAGUACGAAGAAUUUUUAUUUGGACUGGAAUCCAGGAAGCAAAUAAAAAACACAACAGAUCAUUCCAACUUCCUGACAACAAUCAGGGUGGGAUGGUUUGCUACUGGAAAUCCAAGGGAAACCAGAUCAACUGUGAGAUGUUUUCGAUUUCAUAGAUUUCAGAGAUAAAAGGCAACUUAUACAUCAUCCUGUCCAACCUCCUUGUUUUACACAGGAGAAAAUGUGAACUCAAGAGGCAAAACAACUUGUCCAAUGGCAUGCAACUAGUUAUAUGGCGGAAUUGGAUCUAGUUGCUGGUCUUCUUAUUCUUUUUUCAUUGCUUUUUCCAUAACACAACAUGGCCUCUCUAAUUAUUAACUAUGACCUGGCAUUCCACCACCCAUCACAUAUUUAUUGAGUGCUUACUAUUCACUUACCUAUGUUUUCAGGACCAGCUCAAGGGAAAACGAAUUAAGUCAACAAUAAAGAGCCAUUUAUUAAUGCACACUAUGUCAUUUAAUCCUCACCAUAGCACAUUGAGACUGAGGUAAUUAUGUCUGUGACAAAUGAGGAAAACAAAAUUUGCUUAUGGUAGCUAAUGGAUAGCAAAGCUGUGAUUCAAACUGAAGCUGUCUGACUCUGUAUUCUAAGUUUAUCAUCUUAUACCACGUUGCCUUUCUCAAUCCAGAUCUUUCCAUCUUCAACUUUUCUCCCCCCUUACACACUUAUUUCCACAGGGCCUUUUUCUAAUCCAGUUGUCAAGGAUGGGCCAUCAUUUGGAAAAUUACAAUCUCAAGGAGCUGACAUUCUGGGGCCUACAGACCAAAGACCAUAAACAAGUACAUAUGCAAUAUUUAUCAGUUUGGGAUAAAGGCUAAGAAAGAAAACUAAGCAGUGAAAAGGAGAACCAGACUGAGCAAAGGGAGUGCUAUUUUAGAUGGGGUAGUCAGGGAAGUUUCCUCGGGGGAGGGAACAUUUGAGUAGACGUUGAGUAUGGCAAAGUCCUGGAUGGAGAGGGGAAUGUGGGCAAAGGACUCGGUGGUCACAAAGGGAGAUUUGGGGAGGAGUCAGGAUAGUGUGGUGGUUAAGAGCACUGCUCUAAUGUCAGCGCUCCUGGGAUUAGAUAAUCUCCUGGAUCCUUUGAUUGGACAUAGCAAUCAUGAGCAAACAUGAACAAGUUUUCUUAUAUUCUCUGGACCUCAAUUCCCCCUUCUCUGAAAUGGUUCUAAUGACAGUACUCACUUCUUGGGUCAUGUGAGGAUUAACUGAAAGCAAUGUCUGGUUCACAAUAAACAAUAAAUAUCAGCU